UCUUGGAGCACAAUUUUGCCUAUACACAUUUGAGUAUUGCAUAGUCAUUGGAGAAUGAGGCUCUGAACUUCCUUCUGGAUUUAGGCUUCUAAAUUCUUCCUAAAUUUCACUGUACAGCCUAAAACAGACAUGCUGGAUUUCAAGUUUGUCUUAGAAUCAAGAUGAGUUGCUAUAAGCUGAAUUCACCUACAGCUCUGCUGCAACCCAAAACUGUGCUGUCUCGGGGCCCCUCGCACACACCAUGGUGGGCAAAGAUGCAGUGCUGGAAUGACUCCAGGGACCUCACUUUUCCCAGAAGCUGUGGCAACUCUGGAGCAACAUCUGCAGGCAGACAAGAUUUUCUCUGAAAGAAGUCUGAAAGACUCAUAAGCAAAACAACAUUGCAAGCACUACCAGAGCAUGACAGAAGAGGUUCAGUUUCAGAGUCUGCCUGGGAUAUACAAGGCAUUUCAGAGAAGACUGCCUUGGUGAAGGUCUGAUUCAUCUUUCAUGUAAAUACGGAGAAGCUUUAUCAAGUUAACGGAGUGAAAUUCAGUGAAAACUGUGGUAAGUGAGA